UACAGAGGGGGCAAGCGUUGUUCGGAAUUACUGGGCGUAAAGGGCGCGUAGGCGGCCUGCUAAGUCGAACGUGAAAUCCCCGGGCUCAACCCGGGACUGCGUCCGAUACUGGCAGGCUUGAAUCCGGGAGAGGUGAGUGGAACUGCGAGUGUAGAGGUGAAAUUCGUAGAUAUUCGCAAGAACACCAGUGGCGAAGGCGGCUCACUGGCCCGGUACUGACGCUGAGGUGCGAAAGCGUGGGGAGCAAACAGGG
rnacentral:rRNA from 1 species